rnacentral:rRNA from 1 species
CCUACGGGGAGGCAGCAGUGAGGAAUAUUGGUCAAUGGGCUUACGCCUGAACCAGCCAAGUCGCGUGAGGGAAGACUGCCCUAUGGGUUGUAAACCUCUUUUGUCAGGGAGCAAUUGGCGCUACGUGUAGCGUUAUCGAGAGUACCUGAAGAAAAAGCAUCGGCUAACUCCGUGCCAGCAGCCGCGGUAAUACGGAGGAUGCGAGCGUGAUCCGGAUUUAUUGGGUUUAAAGGGUGCGUAGGCGGAAUGCCAAGGCGGCGGUAAAAUCGCGGGGCUCAACCUCGCUCCGCCGUUGAAACUGGCGGUCUUGAGUGGGCGAGAGGUAUGCGGAAUGCGUGGUGUAGCGGUGAAAUGCAUAGAUAUCACGCAGAACUCCGAUUGCGAAGGCAGCAUACCGGCGCCCAACUGACGCUGAAGCACGAAAGCGUGGGUAUCGAACAGGAUUAGAUACCCGGGUAGUC